AUUGAACGCUGGCGGCAGGCCUAACACAUGCAAGUCGAGCGGGGUUUUCGGACCUAGCGGCGGACGGGUGAGUAAUGCGUAGGAAGCUACCCGAUAGAGGGGGAUACCAGUUGGAAACGACUGUUAAUACCGCAUAAUGUCUACGGACCAAAGUGUGGGACCUUCGGGCCACAUGCUAUCGGAUGCGCCUACGCGGGAUUAGCUAGUUGGUGGGGUAAUGGCUCACCAAGGCGACGAUCCCUAGCUGGUUUGAGAGGAUGAUCAGCCACACUGGAACUGGGACACGGUCCAGACUCCUACGGGAGGCAGCGGUGGGGAAUAUUGGACAAUGGGCGCAAGCCUGAUCCAGCCAUGCCGCGUGUGUGAAGAAGGCCUUCGGGUUGUAAAGCACUUUCAGUAGGGAGGAAGGGUGUUGUGUUAAUAGCACAGCAUUUUGACGUUACCUACAGAAGAAGCACCGGCUAACUCUGUGCCAGCCGCCGCAGUAACAC
rnacentral:rRNA from 1 species